UACGGGGGGAGCAAGCGUUGUUCGGAUUUACUGGGCGUAAAGGGCGCGUAGGCGGCGUGGUAAGUCACUUGUGAAAUCUCCGAGCUUAACUCGGAACGGUCAAGUGAUACUGCUGUGCUAGAGUGCGGAAGGGGCAACUGGAAUUCCCGGUGUAGCGGUGGAAUGCGUAGAGAUCGGGAAGAAUACCAGUGGCGGAAAGGCGUUCUGCUGGGCCGUUGCUGACACUGAGGCGCGACAGCGUGGGGAGCAAACGG
rnacentral:rRNA from 1 species